UUCUUCCCCCAUCUCUUUCUCCCCCCGCCGCCGCCCCUGCACCCCCACCGCUUUGGUUCUCCUUCCUCCACCCAACCCCACCUCCAUGGCUGCGGCCCCUCUUUCUUCCCCAUCCUCUCCCGCCCUCAAUACCAUGGCCUCGGGCUGCUGCUAUAGAUCCGGCGCGCGCAGAUCUGGGACGAAGCUGAACCCUGACAUAGGUCUUGUCAGACCAGAGCUACCGUCGAGUGGCCGGUUACCACAAUUGCUCGGUGGAGGCCGCACCUAGUCGCGACUGGGUGCGUUGUGUGUGCGUGAUGACAUGGCGGCAGCAGCGGCAAUCAGUGGCUCCGGCGUGUCUACUAGUGAGAUGUGCGUGCGUGCAACAGCCAGUAUGUUGUGUGUGUGUGUCGUGUUUCCUCUCUGAAUCUUUUAACAUUGAGUUUCCUCUCCACAUGUUCGUCAACCGGCUGCAGAUGCGACCUUCUAUCAAUAUCUAUUUCAGAUGCAGGUCUUGGUGGCACUGCUGCAUGGCGCAAAAUAGAGCUUGAGAGGGCGGGCGGCCAUGAUGGCCGUGAUGGAGCUGCUCCGUGAUCAACCAGGGGUAUGAUUGGGUAGUGGUCUACAAAGUGCUACCCAUCAUAAUCCGCGCCAGGACAUGAUAAUUGCCAUCAGGAGAGUCGACGAAGAAUCUCAACAGCAGCUUCAAAUGUUUAUAUGUUUUGUUGAUGUAAACUGGAUUGUACUGCUUCUUAACCUUGUUGUGUGAUAUAUUUAGUGUUGUAAAUUAUCAUUACAUGGAAGGAUUUGUAAACUGCUAUGUUGUAUAUACGCACAUGAUUUUUUUGAGAAAAAUACAUACAUACA